rnacentral:misc_RNA from 1 species
UUUCCGUAGGUGAACCUGCGGAAGGAUCAUUAUUGGAUUUUGAAACAUCAGGCUGCUGCUGGCUCUCCUCGGAGGGCAUGUGCACGCUUGUUGUCCAUUAUUUCUCCCACUGUGCACAAAUUGUAGACCUUUCAGUAGGCCUAUGUUGUUUUUCACAAUCUCUGAAUGUAAUAGAAUGGUUUUGAAUCUUGGGAAAUACAAUACAACUUUCAGCAACGGAUCUCUUGGCUCUC